AUUGAACGCUGGCGGCAUGCUUUACACAUGCAAGUCGAACGGCAGCGCGGGGCAACCUGGCGGCGAGUGGCGAACGGGUGAGUAAUAUAUCGGAACGUACCCAGAAGUGGGGGAUAACGUAGCGAAAGUUACGCUAAUACCGCAUACGAUCUACGGAUGAAAGUAGGGGACCGCAAGGCCUUAUGCUUUUGGAGCGGCCGAUAUCGGAUUAGCUAGUUGGUGGGGUAAAGGCUCACCAAGGCGACGAUCAGUAGCUGGUCGGAGGGGAGGACCAGCCACAUUGAGACUGAAGCACGGCCGAGACGGCUACGGGAGGGAGCAGGGGGGAAUAUGGGAGAAUGGGCGCAAGCCUGAUCCAGCAAUGUCGAGUGGGGGAAGAAGGCAUGCGGGUUGGAAAGCACGUGGGUUGGGAAAGAAAAGCAGCCGGUUAAUACCCGGUGGGCAGGACGGUACCCAAAGAAUAAGCACCGGCUAACGUCGUG
rnacentral:rRNA from 1 species